rnacentral:rRNA from 1 species
GACGAACCGAGCGAACGUUGUUCGGAAUCACUGGGCUUAAAGGGCGCGUAGGCGGGCUGUCAAGUCUGGGGUGAAAUCCCGCGGCUCAACCGUGGAAUUGCCUCAGAUACUGACGGCCUCGAGGGGGGUAGGGGCGAGCGGAACGGGUGGUGGAGCGGUGAAAUGCGUUGAUAUCACUCGGAACUCCGGUGGCGAAGGCGGCUCGCUGGACCUCUUCUGACGCUGAGGCGCGAAAGCUAGGGGAGCAAACGGG